rnacentral:rRNA from 1 species
CCAUGUGUAGCGGUGAAAUGCGCAGAGAUAUGGAGGAACACCAGUGGCGAAGGCGACUUUCUGGUCUGUAACUGACGCUGAUGUGCGAAAGCGUGGGGAUCAAACAGGAUUAGAUACCCUGGUAGUCCACGCCGUAAACGAUGAGUGCUAAGUGUUAGGGGGUUUCCGCCCCUUAGUGCUGCAGCUAACGCAUUAAGCACUCCGCCUGGGGAGUACGACCGCAAGGUUGAAACUCAAAGGAAUUGACGGGGACCC